rnacentral:tRNA from 1 species
GCCCCGGUAGCUCAGUUGGCAGAGCAGUGGGCUUUUAACCCAUGUGUCGGGGGUUCGAGACCCUCCCGGGGCA